rnacentral:tRNA from 1 species
CCUGCUGUAGUUCAGUUGGUUUAGAGCACUUCUCUGAUAAGGAAGAUGUCCUUGGUUCGAGUCCAAGCAGCAGGA